rnacentral:lncRNA from 1 species
UUUCUCAUUUGAGUCAUUCAUUUUUUCUCGAUUUCUUAUUGGUUUUUGCCUUCUUCGCAGAUUUAUUGUUAUCUCUAAAUCUCGCUCUUUCUCAUUUGCCUUCUAUCCAUUUGUUCUUUAUCUGUUCUUUCUCAAUUAACUAAACACAUCUAAAUUAUAAAAGCUCCAACACCAGAUUCAAAAUCUCACUGUUUUCUUAUUAUCAAGUUAAAAUACUUCGUGAAUCUAGUAACAAUAAUUAGAUCGAUUGUACUCGACUUCGAUUUUCGCCCAAACCAACAACAUAAAUUCAUACAAAGAGAAUAAAUAAAAUAAAAAGCAUAAAGAGAGAAGAGGAUACUAUUUUGCAGAAGCAGACCAGAAAUUCUAAAAAUCUCAUUUGCUGUUGCUAAGAAUAGAGAGAGAUAAGAUUGGCUGAGCUAAAUGCCCUCGUUUAUUCAUUAUUGUGUUGGUGGUAAUUUAUAUAUUCUGCUAAUAUAUAAAUUUGAUGUAAUAGAUUUUCUCUUCGGAAGCUAACCGGGGCUCGUGUAGGAAGAAAUCAUCUUCAUGGUUCGUGAUCGUCAAGUGUUUGGUUUGACCAAGUCGUGGACUAAAUCAAAACCAAACAAAAAGACUUUUAUUUUAACCAGAAAAAUAAAAAUUAAAAGAAAAUCAACAACUACAACCGCCCAAAAGAAAAAAAAAACAACAGGGUGAAAUGAUUUGUUUGAAAGAAAAAAAGAGAAUGAGAGUGACUCACUUGGUGGGCUGUGUAGACCCGGCGAGUUGAUUUGAGUUGAAAAAUGGAAUAUUGAAAUUUGAAUAGAUAUGGGGAUUGUGAUUUAGAAUAAGAGAGAAAGAAAAGGAGGAGAAAAUGAGGGGGGGAAACAGAGAAACCCUAGAUACAUAUUAGAAGAGAGUGGAUGAGUGAUAAUUGAUAAAAGAUAAAACUUUUCAGUCCUUUUUUGCAAUCUCCGACGAAUCCAGCCAAAAGUGUGUGACAGUAGAGCAUUCGCUUCAGCCCUCUUCACAAAAUGUCUCAAGCUUCGACUCGCCAAAUUUUUCUUUCUCCGAUGAAGGAACAACCUCUGGGAAUCGAUUCCUUCAUCCAUUUGGCCUUUUGCCAGGGGCUUCUUUCGACCAUCAUCUCCUUUCUUU